rnacentral:RNase_MRP_RNA from 1 species
CAACCACGAGACGAAGUGAGUGGGUCAUAGUCGGUGCCUAGAGCGCCACUAGACCCAGGAAAGUCCCCGGGCCCAAAACUGCAGAGAUGCAGGCUCGGAAACGAGUCAUCUUCUUGUCGAAGGAGUUACUUGUACUUGUGCAAGUGGGCUGAGACACGUGUGGAGCCUUUGACCCCUUUGCCGAAGCAAAUUGGCCGAUUUAACACAGUUAUUCACUUUGGUCCCUUGUGGACAUAACUGAACGGGGCUUACGAUCUCGUGGUU